UACGUAGGUGACCAGCGUUGUCCGGAUUUACUGGGCGUAAAGAGCGCGCAGGCGGUCGUUCAAGUCGAGUGUGAAAGCCCCCGGCUCAACUGGGGAGGGUCACUCGAUACUGAUCGACUUGAAGGCAGGAGAGGGAAGCGGAAUUCCCGGUGUAGUGGUGAAAUGCGCAGAUAUCAGGAAGAACACCCGUGGCGAAGGCGGCUCUCUGGGACGUGACUGACGCUGAGACG
rnacentral:rRNA from 1 species